AAGAGGGAGAUCUAUGAGCACAUGCUCUCUCCUCUGAUGCUAGUGCAAACUGCUACUUCCUUUGUAGGUUAAGAUAUACUGUUAUUGGUCCUCACAUGAAAUCCACCAGUCCCAGCAUAUCCUAACGAUUUGCCUCAAAGAACUGAUCUGAACUCAAGGGCUGAAGUAAGGUUCAACUCUACGGUGUUUUGAAGGAUAUGCCAAGAUUGGAUGGAUCGCACAUCACAAUCAAUAUUGACAUACAGUAACCUACAAUUGAGUCUGUGGAGGAGUCAUGCUAAUGGCAGCACAGUUUGCACCACAGUUUCAGGUUCUAUGAUUUCAGCUACAACUUACAGCUGCUUCUAGGUAGUUGUGUUUGUGUCUGUGGAUGGCUAUAAAUUGUCCAUGCCUAGGGCAGACAGAGAGGAGGUUUUCAGUUUCUGAACCAGAAUUACUUGGAUGUUUGUGCCAACCAGGAAUCACUCACUGAAAUUCCAACCAGGAAUCGCUCACUGAAAUUCAAAAUUUCAUAACAUUCAGUUGCAAAAUUAAUCAGAACCACACCAAAUGGGUAAAGGCACCCAGCUGGGCCCUUCAGGCUGGGCCAACCCUUUUGACUGCAUUAUCUCCACAACUGCAUCACCACCACGCCAUUUGGUCAUCCAGUGCAGAUAUGCUGAACUUAAGUUCACUGAAUGACAGCUGAAUCAAAGUUAACAAUGCUCAAUAGAAGAAUCAACAAAAAAUGUUUGUAAUAUUCACGCAGGACCUGCUGCUGCGGUUUCUCAUAGGCUUUAUUCUCUUGAUGAAAACAAUGGUGGGUGAAGGUCAAUGCAGAUGUGGACAACACAGAGCACAUAUUCAAGAAUCCCAGUGGGAUCGUGUGCUAGCCUGCCCACACAAUCACAGUUGGUGGCACUACAGACCGCCAUUGGUCCCACCCCCUCUCAGGCUUCCAAAGAUCUGGAUUCCAUCCUAGCAGCCGAAGCCCUGCCCACACACUGGCAUGGCUUCACAGUCUCCCCAGCCUGACUCCUAUUGGCCCCAAAGGCAGAUUGGAUUGCCACAGGAUUUAGCUACGUAAUACUAAUGUCAUUCAGCUACCUUUA